CCAAUAGCGUAUAUUAAAGUUGUUGCAGUUAAAAAGCUCGUAGUUGAAUUUCGGGAUCAAUACGUCGGUCGUGCUUCGGUACGUACUGGCGUCAUUGAUUUCUCCCUUUUGACGAACCAUGAUGUCAUUAACUUGGUGUCAUGGGAAAUCAGGACUGUUACUUUGAAAAAAUUAGAGUGUUUAAAGCAGGCUCACGCUUGAAUACGUUAGCAUGGAAUAAUGAAAUAGUACGUUCGAUCCUAUUUUGUUGGUUUUUAGGAUCAACGUAAUGAUUAAUAGGGAUAGGUGGGGGCAUUAGUAUUCAAUUGUCAGAGGUGAAAUUCUUGGAUUUAUUGAAGACUAACUACUGCGAAAGCAUUUGCCAAGGAUGUUUUCAUUAAUCAAGAACGAAAGUUAGGGGAUCGAAGACGAUCAGAUACCGUCGUAGUCUUAACCAUAAACUAUGCCGACUAGGGAUCGGAUGAUGUUAAUUUUUUAAUGACUCAUUCGGCGCCUUACG
rnacentral:rRNA from 1 species